UGGCUUUAAAUGAUAACUAUGUCUAUAGAUAAAAAACUGAAUCAAAGAGGUACCAGAUCCAUAUGUAAAUCUAAACUGUCUCCCAUUCUUUUCUUGAAGCAAAAAAGAUGUUGAAUGUGAUUACAGAUGAUCAGAGUUUCCCUCUGAAGAAAUGGGCAUAUUCUGAACCAAGCAUGUACUAUAUUCCCUUGACAAAUAUAUUUACACUCAACUCAGAACAUGGAGAGAAAAGGAAAUGUCAACAGUUGACAGCUUCUUGGCCUAUGGGGUGUGAUCCAGGAGCAUAAUAAAUUCAUUUAAUCUUGGUGUUGAAUACAUGCAUGUUAGACUUAUGCAUAGUUUUGUUUUUGUUUUUUUUUUUUUUGGCCUUUCCUCCAACACAUUGUUUGAAUACAAUGUCACAUUCCUCUGUGUUGUCAACAGAGACAUGAACCAAGCUAACCCUUUGGGUCCAACCUGGGAUAAUUUUCCCUAAUGAGUAAAAGGAGGAAUGAGAAAAGGAUACCACGUAGAAGAUGCCUUAUUACCAAAUGUUGGUGGAUAACUAUUUCACGCUGAAACAUGUGCCUCAAGAACAUUGGCCACUGGGAGCUUACAGAGUCCC
rnacentral:lncRNA from 1 species